CUUGCUGCCGCCACCUGAGUGCACCCGGCAGGGAGGCCACCCUCGUGGCCCUGGCUGUCAUACAGUCCCAGACAUUGCCUUCUUCUCCCUUCUCCUCUUCCUUACUUCUUUCUUCUUUGCUAUGGCCCUCAAGUGUGUAAAGACCAGCCGCUUCUUCCCCUCUGUGGUGCGCAAAGGGCUCAGCGACUUCUCCUCAGUCCUGGCCAUCCUGCUGGGCUGUGGCCUUGAUGCUUUCCUGGGCCUAGCCACACCAAAGCUCAUGGUGCCCAGAGAGUUCAAGCCCACACUCCCUGGGCGUGGCUGGCUGGUGUCACCUUUUGGAGCCAACCCAUGGUGGUGGAGUGUGGCAGCUGCCCUGCCUGCCCUGCUGCUGUCUAUCCUCAUCUUCAUGGACCAACAGAUCACAGCGGUCAUCCUCAACCGUGUGGAAUACAGACUGCAGGUAAGGCCUGCUGGGUUAGGCCCAAGACCAAGGGACAGAAGCUCCAGGGGAGUCUACGCUCCCCCUCUCCUACCUCAGAGGACAGAGGGCUGGGGCCUGGGCUAGCUUCAUCCUCAUUGCCCCCACCACUACCUGCAGAAGGGAGCU
rnacentral:sRNA from 1 species